GCCGCCCCGGGCCUGCGCUUAGGGCGAGCACGGAACCCGGGGCGGAGCUUCCGGGGGAGCGCCUGCUCGCCUGACCCGCGUGCUCCAGGCAUCGCGGACGCCGGCCUCGCUGGGCACCCGCUCCCGGAGGCUCCGCACCUUCCAGACAGUUCUACCGCAGCCGGGAGGAGGGUGUGUGCGCGACUGCAGGUGAAGUCAGGUCUGGACGUCCCACAGGAUAGCAUUUUAAUCUAAAAUGAAAUUAACUAAAAGCUGCGAUAACAUCUUCCGGAACUCUAUAAAAAGCAUAAAUGAGCACCCGCAUGUCUGCUGAGAACUUGCCAACACGGAGCUUCCCGGGAAGAGUCUGCACCUGGCUGGGGACGCCCAGGAGCCUUCAGCUGCAGGGUUCAUGCUCUGUCCACACGUGCUGGUGGCCAAGGAUCAUGAUCAGGGCACAAAAUGUGUGUUAUCUGAUGGUUCCACGGCAAUCCAGUUUCUCCUAAGAUACGACUAUGCAGGUAAGCAUGUACCCAAUAACCUAAUCUAGAAUUGGGAUGAAGCUUUUGGGGUUGCUACCCACGAAAAAAAUAUGAACGUACCUCAUAAGGUGCCCUGCAGAAGAAAUGUAUUUAUAAGAAAUGUAGUCCACGAAUCUUAAUCCAAUUUAUUGCGAUCUCCAAAAACACUUUAGCCAGAUAAUUUUUAAAUUAAUUUUUAAUUCCCUACAAUGUAUCACCGUCGUGAGAGGUGACAGCCCGUUUUCCAUCCCUGGCAUAAAUUCUAAUCUCUCUUCCACCGAGGACCAGACGGGAUGGCCGGAACCGGCUGCAGAACCAGUCUCCGGGCGGUAGGUGGCAUUAGCCACCUCCUCAGGCUGGGGAAGGAGCAUCCUUUGUUGAAUGGUUUCUUUAUUCCACCUAGAGAGGCCAGAAUUCAGAUUGGCCUCAAAUACUGAUUCUGAGUCUGUAGAGGCUCUGCUGAUCCACCAAAUGGGUUCUUUUUUCCCCAACCUGCCAACUUCUAGUACCUUCUCCUGCCCUUCUCAGCACUUGACAUCCUGUGACAUUACCAAGUCUGAACUGUGCUGUGAAGGCAUGUCAGUACGGGGCUGGGGGAAGGGUGGUGGUGAGGACAACUCCGCACGUUGUCACUACACGCACACUCGCACAUGCGUGUUUGUUUACCUGAAGGUCCAGGUCCCGGGGUGUGAUCAUUGCAGAUACAGGACACUUGGUUGGCCACGAGUGUUUGUUAUCGCUGUGUGUGUUUCUAUGCAGCUGCUCGUUGUCUUGCGUCAACCUUUCACAGGGAGACCGUAUUGCGUGCACGCCCAUGCGUGACUCUGUCUUCUCUAAGUCCUUUUGGUGCUAAUUCUCUGCUCCUGGUUAUAAUUCCUGCAUCGGUUUUGAGGAACUAAGGACACAGAUGAACUUGACUUGGUGUCACAAACAAGAUCCCUUGUCAAUCAGAAGUCAUUCUUAAGAGAGCUGAGAAGUUUUAGGGGCGCCCCGGUGGCUCUGUCGGUUGAGCGUCCGGCUUCAGCUCAGGUCACAACCUCACAGUUCACGAGUUUGAGCCCCGCGUCGGGCUCUGUGCUGACAGCUCAGAGCCUGGAGCCUGCCUCAGAUUCUGCGUCUUCCUCUCUCUCUGUCCCUCCCCAAUUUGUGCUCGCUCUCUCUCUCUCUCUCUCUCAAAAUAAACAUUAAAAAAAAUCUUUAAGAGAGCUGAGAAGUUUUAACCAGGGAAGCACCUUCAGGCUGUGUGGCCCCAACAGCUCACGUCUCAACAGGGACCCUUACAGACCCUGGCUCUCCAUCCAUGUUGUCUCAUUUGAAUGCAUGGGCCUUUGUCCCGCUGACCUUGGCGCCCUCUCACAGUCUGCUCUGGCAUGGAGAGGUCGCCACACGGAGUGGACACCUGGGGUGUCCAAUAGGCACUGUGAGUGAAGCUGGCCCUUCCUGUCUGUGGAAGGGAUUCAGGGCACAGAGGUCUGGGAAACACUGCAAACACACACAUUCCUUAGAGACACAGCUCAGCGACCCACCACUAACAGCCAAUCAUUGGUUCUUGGUGCACAGCAGAGGCCAUCCCAACCCGGGAAGCUGACUGGUUCGACUUUGGUUAAAUCAAUGACCACAGUGGUCUUACACUUGCCUAAAUUCCUCGAAAGUCCGCCACACCCACAACAGCUUCCUGCACAGGGGCAGGACUAAGGUAGGCCAGGAUUUUUAUUUUAAUCCUCUGGAAUCUGUCUUCUUGAACCUUUUCCAGAGUUGCUGUGUGAACGUUGGCCCAGCGCCACGGCGCCCCCGUUGGAGUCCAGUGGGCAGGAUAGGGCAAAAUGCAUGACGUUCAAGGCACCUCUACUCAGCCAGCUCGGGAGCCUCUGUGCCCGUUCCCAGUAGCUGCCCUCCAGGAAGUUCAGGGGCAAUGUCAGGGAUUUGGCAAAAUACUAACUCUUGGUGCUGGGAACAAAUUUGGAUUUGCUUCAAAUCCAGAAAGGAUUCUCAGUUCAGAUGGUCUCCAAACUGGCUCACUCAUUUUGGGUUUUCACGGUUGGGGCGAUUUUCCUGUAAAAUAGCUGCUGCCUUCAAAUUCCUUGCUCUGGGGGCACCUGGGUGGCUCAGUGGGUUAAGCAUCCAACUUCAGCUCAGGUCAUGCACGAUCUUGCGGUUGGUGGGUUUGAGUCCUGAGUUGGGCUUUGUGCUGACAGCUCAGAGCCUGGAAUCUGCUUCAGAUUCUGUGUGUCUGUCUCUGCCCCUCUUUCACUUGCAUUGUCUCUCUCUCUCUCUCUCUCUCUCUCUCUCUUUCUCUC